rnacentral:lncRNA from 1 species
ACUGCCCCUCAUCCAAGGUAGGACCUUCUUGUUGUACACCAGAUGAUCAUCAGUUUUGAUGCCUCUUUUGCCAGGUUGAACAGUUCACAGAGCCUCCCUUUCCUUCAUCUUCAACUACAGAUGCGUGUCAGCAGAUUCUAUAGAUGAUUCUAAGUACUGAAGUGUUGAGUAGAUAACCCAUCCUCAUGUGCCAACUGAAAUCACUGGAUACUAUAUUGAAGUGUCCUACUCAUUUUGAAAUGUGCAACUAUAGAAGCCACGGACCCGGUACAUGGAUAGGAAGAGCACCUAUAGAACCAAAAUAGAUAGAUACAGAAUGAGAAAGUAUUUUACUUCUACACUUUUGUAUACAAGUAGCACUAAAAAAUAUGCUAAUAUGCAGUACACAAGUAGCACCAUCCGCACAUGAUAUUUUUACUACUCUAUUUGAUAAAUAGAAUAAUCUCAAUAUACAUAUGACAGAGAUUAGUAUGACUCAAAGACAUAUAUUUGAUAACAUGUUACAUUGAUAUGUAAUAGGUUGAAAUAAACAUGACAUGUUACAAGAGACAAUUUUCAAUAAGCCAACAUAUAUACAGGCUAUUAUUCCUCCUAAGAUAGCACAGGGACACAAGAAUUUGAAUGGUAAAAACAGAAGAUACUUGUUCUGAAAUGUGCCUAUAGUGAUGUGGGAACAUGAGAUAACUAAAGGUAGUUCAGAGUAUAUGCAUUCAGUCAUUUCACUCCACACAACUGUAAUGAAGACAAGAUCUAAAUCCUUCAGGGUAGUAGCGCUAAAAUGUGUUCCUAAUAAUGAUCCAAUCCCCAGGGUUACUUAAUACCAACAUAAGAAAAAGACAUGUUUUGGAUCAUCAGUUCAAAAAGGUUUUGGUCAGAAAUCACAAUGCACUCUAACCACAUUUCCAUGUGCGCGUGCAGUAGGGGGGAGAGGGGGUUUCAUUGUCAGUAGUAGCUUCGCAAGGAUUUAAGUACAUUUCUAAUCUCUAAAAGUAAAGCUAUUUAGGCAGGGUAGUCACUCAAUGAGUUCUAUAGCUGUCCAAAUAGUAACAAUAAUAGUAACAAUAAUGUUCUUUCUUUUUUAAUGCCUUUUAGUCAUUAAAUCAUAUUCAUAGUAUGCCAAAAAAUAACAUUUUUGACACAAAAAAUUAUACACAUCAUUGUGGAGGAAUUCAGACCUAUAUUUAUGUACAUACAAAUCUAACUAUGCAUAUACAAUAAACGACAAUAUUAAAGAAAAGCAACAAUCUAUUAGAAGCGAAAGAAUGGUUGCACAAAUCGGAGUGGAAAUAGGCAGUCAGCUAGGAAAAAAACAGAGCAAGGCUGAACCAAUAACUACAAGAGCAUGCAUAACAUUGACUGAACAACUUGAUCCCACAUCACAUGUUGUACGUAAUUAGAGCAAUUGAGCAAGUUGGAAGAUGUUGUACCUAGGCAGAAUUGGGCUCUUAGCACAUGUCCUAGCCUCUGCAAUUGACUGGAUGACUGUACCAGAGGCUGUGAGGGGGGAAACAAUUUUUCAAUGACAAUAUGCAUGAACCAGAUGUAUCAAAGCAGCAAGACGCGGAACUUACAAUUAAUAACGUGGCUUCUGCUGACACUGCUCUGUUCACAUCAGCUAAGAAGCUCCAAUACUGGACAGGUAAUGAACUUUUUAUCCUAGCUUAGCCUGAAAAUGGACAACACUAAAUUAGGAGAUGCACAUGAACUAAUUUCUCAGAAAGAUAAAAGCAACGAAUUUUAAACUUUGAGUGAUGCAAAUAGGACAAAGGAUGACCAUACGCGUGCAAAUAUGAUUCAGCAAACGAAAACACAGAGGUGGGUCUUAAACGUGAACAACAUUAUGAAGUACCCAUUACUAAUUCCAAAGAUCACGGGUUGACAUCUUGUGAAUCAAAGAAUUGAGAAUACUUACAACAAAGCCAUAGGUUCCCUUCAGAUUUACUUGCUGCAAUCUGGGGAGUGAUUGACAGAAGCAGUAAUGCCAUGAAGACUCAAGUAAUGAAAAUACAUAUCCAGUAAUAAAAUUACACACCACUUCAUCAUAAGUACUAUUUUGAUAAAAUCAAUGAGAACAUUUUGAAAAUAAUUUCUAAAACCUACUCAAAACUUUGGAGCAACAAAACUAAUUUCAUUGAUAUCACACUCCAACCAUGGCACUGAUUUAGGUUGACAUCCCCCAAUACCCAACAAGAUUAUCCCAUCAAAAUUCAUAAGGGACUUGGAAUGUUAUGGAAAACUGACAAUAAAAAAUGGAAACUAAAGACCAAGUAGUAGUGCAACCUACCCGAUCACACCAUCAAGCAAUGCGGCCGCAUUAAAAAGAAAGAAAUACACAAUACUAAUAGUGUUAUGUGUUUGAAAUUGAAAUUGAAAGCUCAAGUUAGCUAAAUUUCAUGAAGAUCACACGAGAUAAGACACAAAGUAACUCAUGAAUCAUUAUCAAGUAGGUUCUUGAUUCACUAUGCCCACAAAAAAAAUCAGAGAAAUAAUCAGAAGUUCUAUGGAAACAAUAUAUCUAGUAUUUCUCAUUUAUGAUUGAAAAUGAUCUUGAAGACUGAAAUUCCUUGACCUCCUUUAAAAGAAUGAAGCAAACAUUGUUUUAACCAUACAGAACAUCCAGACAUCUGCAGUUCGCCUAUAGGAUAGGUUUGGAUUAUUCGGAUUACCUAAACUGCAGACACCAAUGGAUAUAACAAAUAUGUUGAUGAGAAAAUCCAUAAGGAGAAUUAGAGCUUACUUUAAUUCCAUGAUCCAACUUUGGCACUUACCUUGAUAAAUGCAGGAGAGCUGCAACGUGCCCUUAAAUUACAGAGAACUAACAUUUACUGCAGUUAGCAUAAUGGGUAUCACGCUAGACCUCACCGUGUCUGGCUGUUUCAGCACUUCAAGUCCCUUUGGCCUUGCAGAGGUGAGGUCAGCAUAAGGAGGCAGAUAGACAAGCUAUUUGCUGCAAGUCCUCAAAGGUAUGAUCGUAGAAUGAUUUUAGCUUGACAACAAGAUGUUUGAUCUGCCUUCAAUAACAAGAUGCUUGAUCUUUUCCACAACUGCAAAUUUAAAAUUAAAUGAGUAAAAAAACUAACACUAAAACAAGUAGUGAAAACAUAUUUUCCGAUGCCUAUCUAGCAUGUAGUUUUCUACUUUCAUCUUAAAGACUCCUGGACCAUUGUUCCUCCAGAAAUGCAAAAUCUGCAAACUGGAACCAUAUCUUCAGAAUGACAUAUGAAUGGUGAGCAUUCAAUCAUCAGAAUUCACUCUAAGUUUAGUGUUAAAACCCAAUCUCUUUAGUAGAAUGGGUGAGGUAUUCUAAAUCUGUAUUCUCAUAUACAAAAUCAUACAAAGCAUACAAGCACGUAUUCUCAUAUACAAAAUCAUACAAUUAAAGUGAGUGUACAACAAAAUAUAUCCAAUAACAACCAUGAUCCAUGUGUUUAAAAAAAACAAGCAUGCUCCAUAGACUAUGCAAGCUUACUCCUAGGUAAAAGCAGUGAAAAAAUGUAGUUAGAGUUUGGGUUUCAUAAUGAAAUUUAAGAGAUGCACAUGAAUUUUCAAAAUGGCUAGGAAUAAAAAGGUUGUGGUGAAGAGACAUUGGCAAUUUAGUUUACCCAUGUUCACGUGCUUGCCUCCUAGCAUCAUGGCCUUCUUCUUCUUCCUCUCGCAGCAGGUCAUCCUCUGUCCUGGGGCUCGCCAGCAGCCAGGAAGGAGAGGACAAGGCCUAGGCAGAGCUCGUGCCCACACUCGCGCGGUGGCGGCGAAGAACCCAAAUAAUCGUAGAAGCUAUCUGAAUGUCACCAGAACACAUGUCACAUAUAACCCUUAAAUUAAUGAUCCAAAAAUGGAUGAAAGGAAUAGCUCACCGUAAUUUUAGUCUUUUCCAAUUCUGAGUCCCUUCCUUCCUCUUGCUUCAUUUGGAUCUCCUGUGCAGUACAUACGAUUGGUAAGUUCAUGGCCGAACCCAUGCCUAAGUCAUAAGAUGAGAACCAUUAUUCACAAAAAAAAUAAAAAUAAAUGAUGAACAGUGAUCUUGGACUAUUGACAUAACUGAAUUAAGUU